CCUGGUUCACCAUCUGUUGUAAUUACUGUUUUAUGUCAUGGUCAGUGGUUGUCGGGAACCUAGACCAUUACAUAAUCUGCUUUGUGUCGCUCUCUUGGGUCCCGAACCAAGAGAACAACACAGGCCAGAAAGGACGACAGGUGGCUGAAGAACCUAUUUGAUAUUAGUAGUUAAUUCCUGUAGAAAUACUUGACUUCUCGGCGUAUACACAGUCACAAAAACCGAAUCAGCCAUUCAUCGGCCCUGUAUACCUCAGAAACAGACCGAAGCAGGCAUAGCUCUCGGAAUUUAAACUGAAACAAACGUCAACAUUACUUGGGAUUUCAUUGAAGCACACUCAAUCGUUACUACACAUAAAUUCAUCCCAUCGUUUCCAUGAUAAAUCUAGAACGGAAAUUUUAAUCACAAACCAAGUUAACUUUCUGUGCUUUAACUUAAGUAUAAGGUAUAUUUCCCAUAUUUCUGAACAGAAAUGAUAAUUUUCGUUUUGUCUUUUCUACCGAGAAUCAUCGCACCGUAAGAAGAAAUGUCCGGACGUGGAACGGGAGGCGAGGACUGACGAAGGAAGGUAGCGGACAUGACCGAAUGGAGAUUCGCAGUCUUUUAACACAUAUGGCAAGGAUCUUAGUGAUGCCAUCAAGCCCGGAUCAACUGGACCUGCAAUGUUCAAGUUAAGUACAUAAUAUGUUUAUUCUGGGGUUAAGAUGGUAACAUCUUGCAGAUAUGAUCUGGGACUAACUUGUCAUAGGCACGAUAGGAAGUAACUGACUUGAGUGUGUUUUGUUGACAUACCGAGUGAUGUUUCUGGUAGAUAUUCGGACGUGCAUUUUGUAAAUGGAGACUCCUUUUGCAGUCAAGGCUUCAGUCCGUUUCCGUGGUGUACAUGCCUGGUGUGUGGCUGAUUUUGGUUUCUGUUGGUUUCUGUGACUGUUGAUGGCCGGGAUCGCCACUUAUUGUACGUAAAUUCUGUUGUUUACAAAACAGGGUCUAACCUGGUUCACCAUCUGUUGUAAUUUCUGUUUUAUGUCAUGGUCAGUGGUUGUCGGGAACCUAGACCAUUACAUAAUCUGCUUUGUGUCGCUCUCUUGGGUCCCGAACCAAGAGAACAACACAGGCCAGAAAGGACGACAGGUUGUUGGAAAAACCUAUUUGAUAUUAGUAGUUAAUUCCUGUUGACAUAAUCGACUUCUCGGCGUAGACACAGUCACAGAAACCGAAUCAGCCAUUCAUCGGGCUUGUAUGCCGCAGAAACAGACUGAAGCAGCCAUAGCAAUCGAAAUUUAAACCGAAACAAACGUCAACAUUACUUGGGAUUUCAUCAAAGCACACUCAAUCGUUACUACACAUAAAUUCAUCCCACUGUUUCCAUGAUAAAUCUAGAACGGAAAUUUUAAUCACAAACCAAGUUAACUUUCUGUACUUUAACUUAAGUAUAAGGUAUAUUUCCUAUAUUUCUGAGCCAAGAUAAUAAUUUUCGUCUUGUCUUUUCUACCGAGGAUCAUCGCACCGUAAGAAGAAAGGUCCGGACGUGGAACGGGAGGCGAGGACUGACGAAGGAAGGUACCGGACGUGAUUGAAUGGAGAUUCAGAGUCUUCUAACACAUAUGACAAGGACUUAUGUGUGGACAGCUAAGCUGUUAGGCAGCUCAUGUGUGCAUACGUCCUGUCCCUGAUUUUGAACCUGUUCGCAAGUAUUGGAGGAAGGAAGCAGACAAGCAGACCGUUAACUGAGUUAACACGACUGUACAACAAGUUUGGAAUGAGACAUCUCUCAGCAGCUUCCAGUGUCUUAUCGGUGCCAACUGCAGAUGCAAGGCUCAUGUUUGGACUUAUCCUGGUGAGAGGCUGCCUGAUGCCAUCUCCACGGUGACGUCCAGAAAGAUGCACUCAGGACUUCAGCCCGCUUUUGUGCUGUACAGGCCCGAUGUGUGACUGAUCUGGUUUCUGUGGCUGUGUCGAUGGCCCUGAUCGUAUUCAACCUGUUACUGUAAAAUCUUAUCUUUAUAAAACAGGAACUUUCCUGGUUAAUCAUUAUCCGUAGUAAUUUCUGUUUUAUGUCGUGGUCAGUAGUUGCCGGGAACCUGGAUCAUUACAUAAUCUGCCUUGUGUCGUUAUAUUGGAUCCCGAGCCAAGACAACAACACAGGCCAGAAAGGACGACAGGUGCUUAAAAAUCUCAUUCUAUAUUUGGUCCUUUAGAAACACUCGACUUCUCGGUAUCAACACAAUCACAGAAACUGAAUCAAUCCAAACAGAAUGCAAAGUGUGCCAUCCUACAGCCAUCAUCUAUAUCACGAGGCUAGAUACAUGUAGUUAAGCUUGAUCGAGUAAAUUUGGAGUCUGAUUUACAUUUUGGUCUCGUCUUGCUUUUUGGAGAUGUAGUGCUGUUUAUUCGCCUUUUGUAAGCAGUCUUUGUUUUGAUUGUAUUAAUCAUAUCAUACCAUUCCAGUACAGGGUUUGGCUAAAACUGAAAUGAUUUUGUUUUGUUUUGUUAUUUCAUAGACUUUGCUUUGUGCAUUUCCCCUGUAUUUUUGUACAUAAGUGGUCUACAGGUCAGUUAAGUAGAUGUCAACAUUGUCCGUUUAUUGUUUAGAGGUUGUUUGUAGCCUUUAAAAAUCAGUCCUUUGGAAAUUUCCCUACCAAAGGCUUAGGCUGACGCUUACACUAACACAAACACACACACACAAACUAACAGACUAACCGCACCAUACAUAUACACUAACAGGCUAAUGCAACAUCUUCUUGCAACACUAACAAUCAGCUCAAAGCCUUAACUUUAAGAACAGAAAAGCUUUCUAUGAUUCUUCACGUACAAAGGUUCCAAGCUACCAUUAUACCAUGUACUGGUAAUGUUGACACUUACUGAUUCUAGGCUCUGUUGGCUACCGUGCUUAGCAAAAUGGAUAGAUGUUACGCUUUAGUUCAAUCUAUUUAGUUUUAGUGCCAGAGCAAUUUUUUUAUUGUGUUGAUUUGAGAGAUGUACAUAUUUGUACAC